UUCUCCCACCUGAGCUGUGGAUCUCUGCAGCUCCGCCAGAGUUACCAUGGGGCUCUUGGCUGCUUCUCUGAUCAAUGCUCUCUUUGCCCGGCCCGUCAGUUUAGGUGGACGGCCAUGUCUUGGUAGGUUUGGAGUUGUGCCGUGCUCUUUCCAUUUUGGAUGAUGGAUUGAACAGUGCUCCGUGAGACGUUCAAAGCUUGGGAUAUUUUUUUUAUAACCUAACCCUGCUUUAAACUUCUCCACAACUUUAUCGCUGACCUGUCUGGUGUGUUCCUUGGGCUUCAUGAUGCUGUUUGUUCACUCUAACAAACCGCUGAGGCCUUCACAGAACGGCUGUAUUUAUACUAAGAUUAGAUCACACACAGGUGGACUCUAUUUACUAAUUAGGUGACUUCUGAAGGCAAUUGGUUGCACUGGAUUUUAUUUAGGGGUAUCAGAGUAAAGGGGGGCUGAAUACUUUUGCAUGCCACACUUUUCAGUUUUUUUAUUUGUAAAAAAAAUUGAAAGCCACGUUAUCAUUUUCCUUCCACUUCACAAUUAUGCGCCGCUUUGUGUUGGUCUAUCACAUAAAAUCCCAAUGAAAUACAUUCACAUUUGUGGUUGUAACGUGACAAAAUGUGGAAAAGUUCAAGGGGUAUGAAUACUUUUGCAAGCCUCUGUACAUAUUUUAGUAACUAAUUUCAGAAACACUUGAUGUUCCAC